rnacentral:rRNA from 1 species
AACUAUAUUAUAUUUAAUUUUGUCAAUAAAUAAAAAGUAUAAAAAGAAAUUAUUAUGGAUUGUCCGCUAUAAACCAAGAUACCCUAGUGGGGAUGUACAUAUAAUGAGACAUCGGUUAUAUAAACAAAGUGAAUUGAAAUAUCUUAAUAACUUUAGGAAAAUAAAUCAAACGAGAUUCUACAAAAAAUGUGAAUUAAGGUAGAAAAGCUUAUAAGUAAAACGGGUUUUCUGUUUGAAUAAAGGGGAACCUUCCUCUAAAGCUAAAUAUGGUUUGUAAGCGAUAGUGAAUAGUACCGUGAGGGAAUACAUGAAAUAGUAGUUUUAUAAGCAGCUUAAGAUAAGUUUAAAUAAAAAACAAAAGCGUACCUUUUGCAUAAUGGGUCAGCAAGUUAAUGUUAGAUGCAAGAAUAAACUAAUUUAGUUAUUCUUAGAGAAAUCGAUUAUGAGAAAAUGAUAAGUAUCUAAUAUUAGACCCGAAGACUAGUGAUCUUACCAUUAUCAGGAUUAUAAAAGUCCGAACGGGUUGUCGUUGUAAAGACAUCCGAAGAAUAAUGGUAAGUUAGUGAAAGACAAAACUGACUAGUUCAGCUGGUUUUCCGCGAAACCUAUAUAAGUAGGUAAUUUAAUUAAUAUCUUAGCAGGUACAGAACUGUGAUCUCGAUCAAAUUUAUUUGAAUACAUCGGGGGAUCGUAAAGAUUUUAUCGGAGAGAUUUUGCACUCGGAAGGGUUAAGAUUAAUAUUAAAUAAUCGGACAUAGUACGAUAAGGUUGUAUGUCUAAAGGGAAACAGCCCAGAACAAGAGUUAAUAAGGUUCCAAAAUUAUUGUUGAGUGAAAUAAAGGAUGUGUCUUUGAACACGGUCAGGAAAUAGGCUUAGAAGCGGCCAUUUUUUAAAGAUCUCGUAACAGAGCACUGAUUUUAAUUAGAAGAUCAUACCAAAAAUAUAACGGAUCUAAACAAUAUACCGAAACCUUGUCCAUAGAUAAUUAUCUAUGGGGUAGCGGAACAUUGGAUAAAUCUUAGAUUUGUUCUUUAUAAGAUUAAAUAAAUAGAUAAUCCAAGAGAUAAUGCUGACAUGAGUAACGAAAAAGCAUACGGCUAUAAGUUUUAAAUAUAAAGGUAAUAAAUCUUAAUAAAUAAAACUCGAAAUUAGAUUAAAUUUAAGAAAUAUUUCUUGAAACCACUUAUAAAAAGCGAAAUUUGGUUAAUUUAUAGGUAGUAUUUUAGUAUAGUAAUAUACUAAGAAUUUAGUCUGGUAUGCCAGAGCUCGCCUUAAGCUUAUGGUAAACUUGAGUGAAGAAAUUUACGGCCUCUAAGUUAAAUUUUUAACGAUGAGAUUUUUAUCAGAAAUAGUACAAUAUUGUAUAGUGUAGUAUAAACAAAACUAAUUAAAGUAAAAUUAGUUCUGGAAAAAUUUAUUCUAUAAUUAAUAAUGGCUUUUUAAUAAAGCUAUAGCUAUUUUUGAAAGGUUAGAGGUAUUACCUUUGGCCAUUAUACCGUACCUAAACACUACCACAAGUAAGCUAGUAGAGAAUACGAAGGCGUUUGAGUAAUCAAUCAUUAAGGAACUCGGCAAAUUGACUCACGUAACUUCGGGAUAAGGUGGGCCAUUCUCAUAAGGUAUUUAAUACCUAUGAAAGAGGAAGCAUGGAAUAGUGUUGUACGACUGUUUAAUUAAAACAAAGCACUCUGCUAAGAUAAAUCGAACUAUUGAGUGUGAUGUCUGCCCUGUGUCGGCUGGGUAACGGAUAGGCUUAAAACUAAAAGGUUAGGCCUGGAUGGAAACCCCGAUAAACGGCGGCCUUACCGAUGAGGGUCCUAAGGUAGCGGAAUACCCUGGCCGUUAAAUGCGGUCUUGCAUGAAUGAUGUAACGAUACAACAGCUGUCUCGAUGAUUGGCUCAGUGAAAUUGGAAUAGCAGUGCAGAUACUGUUUACCUCUAGAUAGACGAGAAGACCCUUUGCAGCUUUACUGUUACUAAUUGAGGCUAUAAUAUAAGAAUUACAAGUGUAUAAGGUAGGAGUAUUAGGUGUAGAAAUAUUUUCUACUAAAAAACAAAUCCCUCUACAGAUUACCCUUCACAUUUGUGCUGUGUUGUAUCAUCUCUGUUGCGGUGAGAUGAAGACGCUCAGUUACGAUUUGAUGGGCCUGUAAAAAAUCCCUAAUAUAGCAACAAUGAGACACCUUUAUUUACUUUAUUAUAGUCCACUGAUUAGAAGACAGUUUAUGCGGGGCACAGAUCCCAUAAAAAGUACCUGGGUAUAUCCAAACUUCUAAUAGUAAAUACGUAUGUUUUAUACGUAAUUUAACUAUAUUUUUAUAGUUAGAUUUUAUUUUAAUUUGUUAUUAAUUUUAACAUAAUUAUUCAGUUAUUGUUGUAUUAAAUACAAUUAUAAAUUAUUUUAAGUAAGAUUUUAACUAUGUGGUGAAUAGUUGUAUAAAUCCUUUUUUAGUUAAAAAAGGAUUUAGUUGUAGUAUUACUAUACUAUGAUAUUUAAUAAUACUGUAAAAGUUUAAUGGCUUAAUCUUGCUUUACUGUCAGACAUACAAGUCCAUCAGUCGCGUAAGCGGGGCAUAUGAUCGCAAGAUACGGAAAGGAAAGGUCUUGGAUUUUUGAAAAAGUUACGCUAGGGAUAAUAAUUGUCCUUCCAUGCCAUAAAACAUGGAUUAAAACUGGGUUAAAUUCAAAAAAGACUUAUUAUAUAGUUAAUUUGAAGCGAAACUUUAUAUUUAUAAAGUACGUUCAACGACUAAAAAUCCAGCAUUUAUUUAAAAAAUUAAUUUUUCUUACUGUUUACAUAAAAAUUUUGUAAUUAUUAUUCAAAUAGUUACUUAAUCUAUAUAUUUAUACAAUGUUGAAUUUAUUAAAAAAAGAAAUAAAACAAGAGUUUGUUAAGCCUUUAACAGCUAAAUUUAAACAUUUUCCAUCUUCAGUAAGAGAAUGAAAUAAUAGUAUAUACGUUUAUAAUAAAAAUAGUUUAAAUUUAAUACCUUCUACUACUUUAUCUGCUAUGAAAAUAAUAAAAAGUUUUUUUAGUCUUUAUAAUAAAAGCUUAGAAAAAACAAUAAGAACUAAAAGAUUAUUACUAAGAUUAAGAAGAUUAUCUUCAAAUAGAAUUUAUUUAAGCAAAGGAGAAUUUAAGCAUACAAAUAAUAGUGUUUUAAUAAAUAUAUAUAUAUUUAAUAGACAAAAAUACAAUUAUUUAUCUAAAUUAAAAAAUAUAUAUUUAAAAAAUUUUUUAACAAAAAAGAAUAUUAACAUAAACAUUAUUAAAACAUUAAAAUCAAUAUAUAUAAAAGGUUUAGAUUCCUUAAGAGAAGUUAAUAAAGAUAAAUAUUUAUUAAUAAAAGCAAUAAAUAUAGUGGAAAAAAAUAAAAAAUAUAAAAUAAAUACAUUUAAAAGCUUAUCUAAUUAUACUAUAUAUUUUUAUAAAAAUCUUUUAAAUUUAACUAUGAAGAAAUUACGUUUAUAUUUUUUAUACAAACAACUUAUAUAUCUAAAUAAAUCAAAAUUAAAUUAUACUUAUUUAAGAUUAUUAAAAAAACACUUAGAAAAUUUAUAUAAUAAAAAUGUAGAAUUUAAUUUAAUUAAUUUAAAUCGUUUUUAUUUAAAUAGUGAUAUAUUAUUUGAAAGUGUAAAGUUAAAACUAACACGUAAUAAAAGAAAAAUGCGUAAAAUACUUAAUAAAAUAAAAGAUAAAAUAAAAAUUAAUGAAAAAAACCUUUCUUUAGAAUCUACAACUCAAGUUGAAAAUCAAUUAAACCAAAUAAACGAUGCAAAAUUAUUAAAAAAUAUUAUUUUUAAUAAUCUUAAAUAUAGACAUGUAUCAGGUUUUAGAUUAGAAGCAAGAGGAAGAUUAAGUAGACGUUAUACUGCAUCACGUUCAGUAUUUAAAUUAAAAUACAAAGGAAAUCUUUUAAAUUUAGAUUCAUCUUACAAACGUUUAUCUUCAGUAGUAUUAAAAGGAAAUUUAAAAUCAAAUAUACAAUAUACUAAAAUAAAUUCUAAAACUAGAAUAGGUUCAUUUGGUAUUAAAGGUUGAGUUAGCGGUAAUUAAUAAGAAAAAUUAUAUAAAUAAAUGAAAAAAUAGUCUGAACCAUAUUGUAAGAUAUGGAAAUAAAUAAACAAUUUAUUAUAACAAAUUUGAACAGGCUAAUGAGCGCAAGAGAGUACAAAUUGAGUGCGCGGUUUGGCACCUCGAUGUCGGCUUAGCUCAUCCACAUGAACGCAGGAAUCAUGAAGGGUUCGACUGUUCGUCGAUUAAAGAGCUACAUGAGUUGGGUUUAAUACGUCGUGAGACAGUAUGGUUUCUAUCUUCUAGGGGAAUUUAGAGUAAAAUAAAGAUAGACCCCUUGUACGAAAGGAAUUGGGUAUGUUGACCUAUAGUUUACUUGUUGUUUAAGUAAUUUAUUACCAUCUUUACUAGGAUGGAGGCUUUACUGUACAGACAUAUGUCUUACUUUGUAAAGCCAUAUAUUUUAAGCAUGGCAAGAAAGCCACGUCAAUUAAAGAUAAGCGCUGAAUGCAUAUAAGCACGAAACUUACUUUAUUAUACUCUUAAGCGCGUAGUAAAACACUACAUAACACCUCGUGUUUAGGCUUUGGCUAUAAGAACUUUGCGGUUUUUAGGCAUAAAGUACUAAUUAAUCAU